UGCAAGUCGAACGGCAGCACGGAGCUUGCUCUGGUGGCGAGUGGCGAACGGGUGAGUAAUAUAUCGGAACGUACCCUGGAGUGGGGGAUAACGUAGCGAAAGUUACGCUAAUACCGCAUACGAUCUAAGGAUGAAAGUGGGGGAUCGCAAGACCUCAUGCUCGUGGAGCGGCCGAUAUCUGAUUAGCUAGUUGGUGGGGUAAAGGCUCACCAAGGCAUCGAUCAGUAGCUGGUCUGAGAGGACGACCAGCCACACUGGAACUGAGACACGGUCCAGACUCCUACGGGAGGCAGCAGUGGGGAAUUUUGGACAAUGGGCGCAAGCCUGAUCCAGCAAUGCCGCGUGAGUGAAGAAGGCCUUCGGGUUGUAAAGCUCUUUUGUCAGGGAAGAAACGGUGAGGGCUAAUAUCCCUUGCUAAUGACGGUACCUGAAGAAUAAGCACCGGCUAACUACGUGCCAGCAGCCGCGGUAAUACGUAGGGUGCAAGCGUUAAUCGGAAUUACUGGGCGUAAAGCGUGCGCAGGCGGUUUUGUAAGUCUGAUGUGAAAUCCCCGGGCUCAACCUGGGAAUUGCAUUGGAGACUGCAAGGCUAGAAUCUGGCAGAGGGGGGUAGAAUUCCACGUGUAGCAGUGAAAUGCGUAGAUAUGUGGAGGAACACCGAUGGCGAAGGCAGCCCCCUGGGUCAAGAUUGACGCUCAUGCACGAAAGCGUGGGGAGCAAACAGGAUUAGAUACCCUGGUAGUCCACGCCCUAAACGAUGUCUACUAGUUGUCGGGUCUUAAUUGACUUGGUAACGCAGCUAACGCGUGAAGUA
rnacentral:rRNA from 1 species